rnacentral:rRNA from 1 species
ACGCUCAUGCUGGGGAGGAAGGGGAUGAUCGUUGAGUAUACCUUCUCGAUGACGUUACGCUGCAGAACGAAAGCAACCGGGCUAACUCAGUGCCAGCAGCCGCGGGAUACAGAGGGUGCGAGGCGUUAAUCUGAAAUAAUGGCGUAAAGCGCACGCAGGGCGGUCUGUCUAAGUCAGAUAUGAAAUCUCAUCGGGCUCAACCUGGGAUCUGCACUUCGAAACUGGCAGGCUAGAGUCUUGUAGAGAGGGGGUAGAGUUCCAUGUGUAGCGGUGAAAUGCGUAGAGAUAUGGAGGAAUACAGGUGGCGAAGGCGGCCCCCUGGACAAAGACUGACGCUCAGGUGCGAAAGAGUGGGGAGCAAACAGGAUUAGAUACCCUGGUAGUGCACGCCGUAAACGAUAUCGAUUUGGAGGUUGUGCCCCUGAGGCGUGGCUUCCGGAGCUAACGCGUUAAAUAGACCGCCCGGGGAGUGCGGCCGCAAGGUUAAAACUCAAAUGAAUUGACGGGGGCCCGCACACGCGGUGGAGCAUGUGGUUUAAUUUGAUGCAACGCGAAGAACAUUACCUGGUCUUCACAUCCACAUAACUUAUCAGAGAUAGUUUUGUGCCUUCUGGAAAUGUGAGACAGGUGCAGCAUGGCCGUGGUCAUCUUGUGUUGUGAAAUGUUGGGUUAAGUCCCGCACCGAGAGCAACCCUUAUCCUUUUUUUCCAGCGGUCCGGCCGGGAACUCUAAGGAGACUGCCAGUGAUAAACUGGAGGAAGGUGGGGAUGACGUCAAGUCAUCAUGGCCCUUAUGACCAGGGCUACACACGUGCUACAAUGGCAUAUACAAAGAGAAGCGACCUCGCGAGAGCAAGCGGACCUCAUAAAGUAUGUCGUAGUCCGGAUUGGAGUCUGCAACUCGACUCCAUGAAGUCGGAAUCGCUAGUAAUCGUAGAUCAGAAUGUUACGGUGAAUACGUUCCCGGGCCUUGUACACACCGCCCGUCACACCAUGGGAGUGGGUUUUCAAAGAAGUAGUUAGCUUAACAUUCGGGAGAGCGCUAACCUACAUUAGGUUCCAACCCU